AUCCUGCAGAAGAUCCUAAUCAUUUUUAAGCAAGACAAUAUAUACUAGUACAUUUACUUAUGGAAAAUUAGGUAAUACAUAUACAUGUUUUGGGGGGAUAUGGAGGGAAACAGACGUACCCAAAAGUAUGGGAAAUAGAAAAUGUUUGUAUAGUUUUGUGGGUUCAUAACAGAUUAGCUAAAAUGACAUUUUAGCAGUCAUUUUACAGUUAUUCUUUGGUUUGAAACACGGCAUGCCACCGGUCGACUGGGUGCCAUCUAGCGGGCAUAAUUGGCAGUGCCUGCAGAUAGGGAUGACCAGACUAUGUGGGUGGGGUCUUCAAACGCUGUGUAAGGACCCUGAUUAGCAGAUAGAGAGGCGCCUGUGCAGAGUGCAUCUGUGAAAAAGGGUUCCGCUAAGGGCUGCACGUUGGUCGGAGGAAGCGUGGAUCCCCCAGCAGCGGGAGACAAAUUGACUACGCUAAAUUGGGAGAAAAUGCUUAAAUAAAAUAGAGAAAAAACAUGGAACAAGGGUGCGCCUUCAACAAAUAAUAAACUAAAAAUUUAUAAAAUCCUUAAUGUUUUUGCCAGUUGUGUUCAUUAAUACAUACAUUGUGUUAAUAAAUGUUAAUAACAGAUCUGAAGGCUUAAGUGGUACAUGAUUUUUAUUACUAUUCAAUUUAAUAUUUUCUUAUUUUCAGUUCUGCCCACAGGUCCAACUUUUUCCUACACCCUUGCCGGAAGGAAACCCAGAAAAAUAAGGAGGACAUGCACAACUCCUCGCAUAAAGUGGCCAAAGUUCUGCCCACAGGUCCAACUUUUUCCUACACCCUUGCCGGAAGGAAACCCAGAAAAAUAAGGAGGACAUGCACAACUCCUCGCAUAAAGUGGCCAAAGGUGGCCCUGAAACCAGCACAACUCUAACAGGCUGUAUUAAACACCUCCUAGGGGAGAUAAUCAAAGGUUCUGCCUAAAAAGCAAAAACACCAAGGUGGCCCUGAAACCAGCACAACUCUAACAGGAUGUGAAUGAACACCUUCUAAAGAAAAUAAUUAAAGGUUCUGCCUAAAAAACAGAAAAACACCAAGUCACAGGUCUGGCUCAUCUGGAUCCUUCAUCAGAACCUGAGAAAGAUUGGCAUUAAGACUCUUUACAGUACUAGUGCCAUGAUGUUGAAACGCUCAUCCUUUAUGUUUGAACAGCUGAGUCUCUUGCUGUUUUUGAAGAUGUUUAAGGUGGACCCAUCAGUCCUUAACCUCUAAAAACAUGACUCUCAGGUGGCCCUGAAACCAGCACAACUCUAACAGGAUGUAUUAAACACCUCCUAGAGGAGAUAAUCAAAGGUUCUGCCUAAAAAACAACAAACACGAAGGCUCACAGUGGGUUUGAUUCAUUAAGCAAAAGACAGAAAAUACCCUGGAGAGGUCGCCAGUCCAUUACAGGGCAGAAGGGAGCUGCUGUUGUUUUUUACUUGAGGAAGGGCACUGACCAGAAAAUCCUUGAGGCCAAAAUGUAUACAGUCUACAAAAAAUGCACAAAAGAGCUUAGUUCAGCAAGAGACUAGAGCUGGAGAGGAUAAUAUCAGAAACAUAUGCCAUAUGAUUGGACAACUGGAUCUUACCAGAGCCAAUCACAGGGACUUGCUAAUAAAAUGAAUCUAACUUCA